rnacentral:rRNA from 1 species
UACGUAGGGGGCAAGCGUUGUCCGGAAUUAUUGGGCGUAAAGAGCGUGUAGGCGGUCCGGUAAGUCAGCUGUGAAAGUCAAGGGCUCAACCCUUGAAUGCCGGUUGAUACUGUCGGGCUAGAGUCCGGAAGAGGCGAGUGGAAUUCCCGGUGUAGCGGUGAAAUGCGCAGAUAUCAGGAAGAACACCAAUGGCGAAAGCAGCUCUCUGGGACGGUACUGACGCUGAGACGCGAAAGCGUGGGGAGCGAACAGG